UCCCUGGUGGCUCAGUGGGUUAAGGAUCCGGUAUUGUCAUUGCUGUGGUCCAGGUUCGAUCCCUGGCCUGGGAA
rnacentral:tRNA from 1 species